UUACUUCAGUGCUGCAUCCUGUUUUUGGAUUUUGUAAAUGGUUUCAUUUAACUAAAAAACGGACAUGACACAUCUGAUGGAUUGAUCAAUGAGAUUUUACAGUUUUGUUUUUUUUUUUUUAAAUUAACAAUGUUGAUUUCGAGACCAAAACUAAUGGAAGAACCUUCAGAAGACCACUGAAGAGCAACUAAAGGAUGGAAACCUCUACUCUUAAUAAUUUAAUAUGAAUACAGCAGCAAACUGUGGUUGUCCCGGAAGUGACAGACACAAAAGAGAGAGAUAAGUUUGUUUUUAUUAUUACAAAUUGCUUGAUCUGCUUCUAUGGCUAUUUAUUUCUUGAUGUAUUUAUAAAGCCUGUAAUAGGCAUGUAAUAAAUGUGCUGUUACAAUCUUAGACAAGUUUGUGACUCCUACUGCAUCUAUUGAGAAAUAAUUCUCAAUUAUACAUUUAUUAUAUGGUUAAACAAUGUGUUUAAUUUAUAAAGUGGCAUAAUUUUUUUUAGUUACAAAAAAUAUUAUUAGCUGUAUAUAUAUAUAUAUAUAUAUAUAUAUAUAUAUAUUCAUAUUAAUCUUUUAUUGGACUGCCUUUGUUAGACAGUGCGCCCUCUUGUUGACAUUUGUAAAAAAAAAACGAUUGUUAUGGUACGUAGAAAUAUUGCUCAUGAAAUCUUUCAUAUUUCCAUCAAAACCUGUUUUAGUACUAAAUCAUUACAAUUAAAGAUAAUAUUGAUAAUACUGAGUAACUAAUGAAGCUUUUAUUGUAUGUAAAAAUGACAGCAGUGCUCCGUUUAGGUGGGUUCAGAUAUCAACAAAAGGCUAAUAGGCUGUUAGCAUAUUAGCCUUUUUUGUAAACCGUUGUGUUGCAUCUGUAGUUAGUCUAUAGAGUUUAUAAAUUGCUAUCGUAAUCUUAAAUUUACUGCUAUUGUUAUUUACUAAUAUUUAUUAUUUAGUUGCAGUUUUUGUUGGCUUCUUGUUUUGGGCACUUGUCCAUCCGUCAAGAUCAUCAAACUGCUUAACUUGAGGCUUAUAAUGAGUAAUUUUGAAUAUUACAGUUUUGAAUAUUACAUUAUUAUACAAUAUUACAAACCCACAAAGCCCACAAGCUAUCAUCAUUACAUAUGAUAAACGAAAUAUUUUGUUUGCUUGAAAAGUGGGUUUACAGUGUCUUCAAGGCAGAGUAAUGAUGAAACAUGCAGGUUAAACAUAUAUGACGUCUUUUGAGCAGUUCACGUCUUCAUUAUGGCGGUCAAACUCCCUUAUAAUUCACACUCUGGAUAACUACUCCUGCUAACUACUGUUUUAUUUGCAUUUGUUUUCAGGGUGCAAUGUUCUGUAUGCCCCAUCAGCCCACAGCAGGUCAAAUUAAGACCUCUGUCCAGUGUGUGGAGAACCCUAAAGGAUUAGGUGGAGUGAUAAUAUAUGACUGGGAGACGUUCACCAUGGACAAACAACACUUGGUGGCAGUUUGUGAUCAUAUAGAAGACUCCUACAACUCUACUAAUAAACAAAAUCUCCCCUUUGAGGGGAAAAACUCAGGUGAAGACAAGAAAUGCAGAGAAAUAAAGGGAUUUCACCACUA